GUGUUGCUUAAAGUUGGCAGGAAGGAAGAAGCCACAGGUUUGUUGGAUGGAAUCUGGGCCAAAGGAUUUGUGCCCGAUGCUGUUACGUAUAGAUUAAUGAUACAAAGCUUUUAGAAGAAGGAUCUCUGCAAGAAUGGUUUGCUGCCGACUCCCGUAUGUUAAAUGCCGUCAUUAGAAUGUUACUUCAGAAAGAGGAGGUGCCCAGUGGGGAAAUUGAUGAGAGGAGCUUCACCCUUGAGGCUUCUGCAGCUGGCUUGUUGACUGCACUUACUUCAGGGGGAAAUGUCAGCUGUAUCAUAGAUUUCUCCCUAAAAAAUAUCACUCUUUUCUGGAAUAGGGAACUGGUUGAAACCUUUUCUAGUGAUUUUACCUAAUCGAGGGCCAAACAUUUCUUUGCAGGGUUCCUUUCCCAACCUUUUCCUUUUGUAAUGUAAUGAACGUCAUGUUGGUCAUUUCUCUUAGUAGUAAGUCCGGGAGAAACUUUGACUAUCUGUGUUUCAUCUAUAUGGCUGACUACUACUUCUUCCAUGGAGCUGUACAUUUCGCCUCAAUUAAGUACUGUUUUUAUUAGUUUUUCAGUCUUGGAUUUGACCUGAUAAAUUAUCCUCGACGUUUUUUCCCUUGUGUGCUGUGUCGUUGGACAUAUACUAGAUACUCACCACAUCAUAAUGUGAGACAACCUUGGGAGCAAAGCUUUGGCAACCCUUGUCACUAUCCAGCAACCAUGCUGUUUACAUGCUAUGAUGAACAUGUUGUGCCUCUUCACUCAUUGAAGUUGUUAGCACCAAGGAUGCGCUUCAUGAAGGUGCAAAUAAGCUUCUGAAUCAAAUUAUGACGGUGAUGAAUGUUCAGACAACAGGUGCAAGAGAUGCUGAUGUAUUAGGCAGACAUGCAGUCAGGUACAGAUAAGCAUGCUCUGUGUGAAAGGGGCUCACAAACUUCUGAAUGAAGGAGCGACGGUGAUGAGUUCUGAGACUGUGCAGACUACAGGUGCAAGAGAUGCUAGCGUUCUGGGGAUAUGCGAGGCGUUGCAAAGCGAGCAGUUCAGAUCCUCCUCGUCUUCGGCCCUUAUCAUGAACAGAAGUAAGAAGCCAGCUUACUUGCUGUUCGCAACGAAGAAAAAACACCUAUAUAUGUGAUACAAGCAAAUUUGAAAAGCCAAGCUGUCAAACUACAUAUAUGCAAUGCAAUGGAGCCGGGGCUUUGCCCUUUUCCUCUAAAAAAAAACUACGCUUGCCACACAACUUGGGCAUUUUCCAUUGAUAUUUGCUCUUGAACAAGUUGUGUAAUUAUUGACUAGCAUGUGUACAUAAACUUGUUUUAUGUGUGCUUGAGAAGGACCUGUGCAAGAUGUUAAGGUUAUUGUGAAGAUGAAAAACCUUGUACCAGAGGCCGAGAGCUUUAUAGUUUUGGGAUUCAAUGGGUGGCUUCCAUGAAACAUCAUCUUUUUUUGAGGUAUGCAGUGUUUCACA